rnacentral:rRNA from 1 species
GACGAACGCUGGCGGCGUGCCUAAUACAUGCAAGUUGAGCGAUGAAGCUUGGUGCUUGCCCCAAUUUGAAGAGCAGCGAACGGGUGAGUAACGCGUGGGGAAUCUGCCUUUGAGCGGGGGACAACAUUUGGAAACGAAUGCUAAUACCGCAUAACAACUUUAAACAUAAGUUUUAAGUUUGAAAGAUGCAAUUGCAUCACUCAAAGAUGAUCCCGCGUUGUAUUAGCUAGUUGGUGAGGUAAAGGCUCACCAAGGCGAUGAUACAUAGCCGACCUGAGAGGGUGGUCGGCCACAUUGGGACUGAGACACGGCCCAAACUCCUACGGGAGGCAGCAGUAGGGAAUCUUCGGCAAUGGACGAAAGUCUGACCGAGCAACGCCGCGUGAGUGAAGAAGGUUUUCGGAUCGUAAAACUCUGUUGGUAGAGAAGAACGUUGGUGAGAGUGGAAAGCUCAUCAAGUGACGGUAACUACCCAGAAAGGGACGGCUAACUACGUG